CACCUCUCUUCAUCAAAGUCCAUGAAAAAGUACACGAUCGAAUGCUAUACUGCAUAGGAGUUUUUAAAUUUCUUUAUAUCACUUUCAGGGUAACCAAAUGUACAUCAGCUAGAAAUGCUUUGUCCUUUGGCUGUGGUGGUUUAACAGAGGAAUCAGGAGCAAAUUCUGUAGCUUCCGUUAGACAAUGUAAAGAGAAACUUUCUCCCAGCCAGUACUGGCCUGCCAUCUACUUCAAGAAAGUACUUAUCUCUGGGAGCAGGUCAGGAAGGAAACCAUAAAUAUACACUUGAGGAUCUUGUCAAGUUAAAACUGGGAGACAAAGAACGAGCCUCUGCUGGUGUUGCAGUGCAUUCCAGAAACACCCAACGGUUGGCCAGCUGUGUGUACCCCAUACCAGAACAGAGAGAGAUUACUCCCGACUGUUACCUUUUAAAUUUAUAGAUCCAUUUCCCCUGUAGCUUUGCCAUUACUGCACUUUUCUAUAACGUUCAAAGAGAGAGGACUUUGCAUUUCAAGUGAAGAAAGGAAAAGCCGUCAAGUUCUUUCCUGGGAAGUAUCUGUUGACCCCCAGUUGGCCCAGAAGCAUGUGCAUGGAAGCAGCAGGGUUUUACAGCACAGGAAGUCAAAUCAAUAGAGAGUCUGUUUCAGAAUUAGCAAACAAAGAUUUAACUCAUAUAAACUUCAUAUCCAGAGGCAUCUGUAAAAGGAAAUGGAAAUUAUUAGACAGCUUUAACGACAACAGAAACUGCUGUUUUCCUUAUAGUCUUUGUAUGCUGUAGUCACAUGUACAUGCUUAUACUUGUAUACUUAACAUUCUUGCUCUCUUACCUUGUUCUUUGUACAGAAAGAAGACCACACACAGAAAAACUGUGUGUUGCAAUAGCAACAUUUGAAAAGGCUGUACUUGAGAUCUAGUAACCUUCUGUGGCAUGUAGCUAGAAAGCUGCUGAACAGAAGGUCAAACCAAAAAGUGAGUGCAACAGACCUGGGGGACAGGAAGAUGCAAAGAUGCACCCUGCUGCUCCCAGGCUGACCUGGGACAACUCUCCACCUGCAGCCCAGCUCUGACACAUGAAGGAGCGGUUCUGGACAGCUUUUAAGCAGAGCUGUUUCCUUGCUGCUAUGGGGGAUGCUGUUGUACUUGUAACCUUGAAUCACAAAGGAAGAAGAUGGAUGGGGACUCCAAGGAGCUAGACAGUGAGAACUUCUUUGGAAGAGACUGAAGAACAUAUAGGAUUCAUACAGAAAUGCAUCGAGC
ensembl:lncRNA